GGGUAUAUAGCUCAAGUGGUAGAGCGCAUGCUCAGCACACAAGAGGUCCCGGGUUCAAUCCCUGGUACCUCCU
rfam:Camelus ferus unplaced genomic scaffold scaffold1161, whole genome shotgun sequence.